CCUCGGCCUCCCAAAGUGCUGGGAUUACAGAUAAAGGAAGCUUUUCAAGAUCCACCAAUUGAGGAUAAUCAAACCUUCCACAGUCUAGAACCUGGAGAUUCUGUCUUCUGGAAAUGACAUCAGAGGAAGGCUGCUCUUGACAACUCUUUGGAAGGGACUGUGCCGAGUUCUUCUCAACACCUACACUGCAGUGAAGCUUCAGGGCCUUGAAACUUGGGUCCACACCUCACAACUCAAAAGGACCUCUUCAGACUCCUGGAACUGUACAUCUGCUAGAGACUUUAAGGUAAAGCUGUCUAAGGAAAAAUCUCCAGAGCAGAUGACAUUCUAGUUGUGGACAGCUUUCCCAAGAUCACAGAUGAAGACUUCUGUAUCAUCAUGAAAGCCUUACAUUUUUUUCUUUUCUCCUCAUUUCCUGUUGCCCUAAUUCUUUCUUUUUCCCUACAGAAAAAUCCAUGGGACCAUAACCAGUGGAUGCCUUUAGCUUGAGCAUCUGCUGUAGCACAGAACCAGAGUUUGUGGAUUAUUGGGUUUGUUGUUUAUUGCCAAAAAAAUAUAAGGAAACAAUUCCACUAAUGCCAGUGCCUCUCCAUGUUCCCAAUGAGAGUCACCCCAAAAUUCCAAGGGAAGGAUGGAAAGCUAUCCUUGAUAUUCUGAACACCACUGCUACUUGCUUUCCUGCACUCACUAAAAAGAACACUUUAACUUUUCCUUUUUUUUUUUUUUUCUUUUUUUGAGACAGUCUCACUCUGUUGCCAAGGUUGGAGUGCAGUGGCCUGAUCUUGGCUCACUGCAGCCUCCACCUCCCAGGUUCAAGGGAUUCUCCUGCCUCAGCCACCCAAGUAGCUGGGACUACAGGCGUGCACCACCGCAUCCAGCUGAUUUUUGAAUUUUUUGUAGAGACAGGGUUUUGCUAUGCUGGCCAGGCUUGUCUUGAACCUCCUGGCCUCAAGUGAUCUGCCAGCCUUGGUUUCCCAAAGUUCUGGGAUUACAGGCGUGAGCCACCACACCCUGCCUUAACUGUUUCAAUUAAUAACCUGAUCAUUACCAAAGUAUAGAAAACCAAUCCAAGUGAUGACUGCAAAAGAUAUAUUGUGCUUUCAGGCAUCAUGUACUCAAGAUUUGGGAUUUACCUAUGUGAGUACAAGUAAUUGCUUGUAUAAUGUCACCAGAUUAAAUUCAACAGGGUCUCUUUUUACCAAAUGUUUUAUAUACCCUUACAACAUGCUAUAAGAGGGGCACAAAAAGGUCAAUUUCUCAAUGGAUUUUGUUCAGCAGCUAUGCAGAUUUAUUAAUGAACAAAUCUAACUGAACCCUGCUCAAAUGCAACUAGGUAGCCCUGUUUUUCAACUCCCAAGGACCUAUUUUGGGUCUGUGGAUAAUCUGCAUAUUUCAUUCUGCCUCUUCGUUGGCUCAGAUCUUGCUAUUUGGUCUGGCUCACUCCUGCCUUUCAAAUAGUUUCACCUAAAAAUUCUCCUAACAGCUCUUAUGAUUGGAGGCCAAAAUAGUCAAUAACUGAAAUUAGCACUAGCUUUGAAAUAGACAAAGAUAAGCUAGUUUCCACUGAGGAAAGAUUCCAGUGGGGUUCCUGGGGGCUCACUCUUGGUGGUAGUGGGAUACUAGUUGUAUGGAAUCCAAAGCUAAUCCAUAUGUGGGGUCUUGGAUUUUAUAGCCAAUCAAACAUCCCAGUGUUUCAGACAGGUAGACACUACUCUCCAAAAGGUAGAUGUGGCCUGGUGCAAUGGCUCAUGCCUGUAAUCCCAGCACUUUGGGAGGCCAAGGCAGGUGGAUCGCCUGAGGUCAGGAGUUCGAGACCAGCCUGCCCACCAUGGUGAAACCCUGUCUCUACUAAGUACAAAAAAUUAGCCAGGCAUGGUGGCACGUGCCUGUAGUCCCAGCUACUUGGGAGGCUGAGGCAGGAGAAUUGCUUGAACCCAGGAGUCACAGGUUGCAGUGAGCUGAGAUCACCCCACUGCACUCCAGCCUGGGUGACAGAGCAAGACCCUGUCUCAAGAAAAAAAAAAAAAAAAAAAAACAAGAGGUAGAUGUUACAGUUAAUGGAACAUCAUACAGCUUCAUAUCUCCUUUUUACUCAAGCUGGGGCCUGUGUUUGGUGUUGAACAAAAUAGAAUGCUGCAGUUAUCUCUCUCCUGAUUUUGUUACUACAGAAAGCUUAAUGUAAAGGUGGCUGAUACUGCUGUUUCCUUAGACACUGACACCAAAUACAAUAAAGAAGUCUCUCAAGAGGAAAACAUGGUGUGUUUACAGGAGCAACUAACAGUUGGUUUGUAGGCAUCCUAAAUGGUGGAUGGCAAGCUUGGGUUUCCCAAAGGUUUCUAGUCUUUAUAUGUCUUCUAGUAGGUGUCCAGGUUAGUAUGGCUUGUGUUACCAGAGCAACAAUGAAAAUGGCUACAUCUUUAAAUCAGGCCACUUUACAGUGAACUAUGAUCCUUAAUUGCUACCACAUUUCAAACAAGAACUAUGACCAAUUAAACUUUACUGUUGUUGAACUGCCUAUGUUGCCUGAACUUUGACUGGUUUAAGUUGGUUUCAUUUAUUUAAUAAGAACACUUGUUAAGGAGUGCAUCUUGGUAUUUUGAUAUUAUUCUCUUGAUAGUCAUAAUAAUAGUUCCCUAGUGUGCUGCAUCCUCUCAAGUCUUAAAUGUUUUGUAUGCAGCCAUACAUUGAGAAUUGAAUGGUCUCACUUUGACUAGGUCAGCAAGAACAUAGAGAAUCAUUCACCUAGUGUGAAGCUGUGACUUGUGAACUUCAUAGUGACACCAGUAAAGACUUGUGAACUGGCUGGG
rnacentral:lncRNA from 1 species